UACGUAGGGUGCAAGCGUUGUCCGGAAUUAUUGGGCGUAAAGAGCUCGUAGGCGGUCUGUUGCGUCCGCUGUGAAAACUCGGGGCUUAACCCCGAGCCUGCAGUGGAUACGGGCAGACUAGAGGUAGGUAGGGGAGAAUGGAAUUCCCGGUGUAGCGGUGAAAUGCGCAGAUAUCGGGAGGAACACCGGUGGCGAAGGCGGGUCUCUGGGCAGUAACUGACGCUGAGGAGCGAAAGCGUGGGGAGCGAACAGG
rnacentral:rRNA from 1 species